GGCUAUGGGCCUAACAGGAAAAAAAAACAAUGGAUCAAUGGACAAUAUUGGAGACAAACAUUUGAGUGUAAGCAGCCCUCUACUGCCCAACUGAGGAAGAAUCUUGGAAACAGAAAGCCAGAAGAACCAGUGGGCUCUGCCCAGCCACCAUUGGUCCAUUUUUGCUCCGACAUCACAAAGAAGCAUCGUAGGACAUCAUAGAUACCUGUUCACUUACAGAUCUGCCUGAGACUGUCUCCUGUACCUACAGUACUGAAGUUGGCAUUUGUUUGAAAAACUACUAGAGUCCGAUGCUGCUGGAAGAUUCUACUGGAACUUCCAGGAGCUUUUAAACAUUGACAUAGUGCAUUUAUCUCCACUUUGGUGAGAAGUAUACGACCUUCUAGAACUGGAUUUAGUGUACUUGUGGACUACCUGACCUGUAUCCCGAGAACCAAAUACAGGUCCUCUGCAGAAAUCAUAGACAUUGUGGACUCCAAAGCCAGCUCCCCAGCCUGGACCCAGUGAGUUUUGAAGUGUCUGUUGUAUCAUCAACUCCUCUUGAACCUGAUUUUCUUGCUGUGUUGGUUCACAGUGAAUGCUGAGAUCAGGGGAGAGGAAGGCUGUCCUUUUCAAUGAACAGUUCUUAGUGUCUGUGAGCCUUUGUUUGCAGUUGAUCCCUGUCAACAUGAUCUGGCUCUCAGUUUGUAUCUACAGCUUUAGAAGGUAUUUCAUUGUCUUCUCAAGCAUUCAAUGUGCUUGACUAGCUUGUCUGACAUUUUUUUUUUACUUUUUAUUAUAUUUAUUAAUUUGUGGCUGUGACAACUACCCCACUUUCCAAGAAAGUUUUCUUUUGAUACUGCUACAGUGUUCUGCAAUAUCAUGGUAAGGGGCUGUAAGUGGCAUGAAAUAUAAGGACCACAAUUUUUAACUGCAAACUAUAAUGGUGUGUAAUGAUUAAAUGAAAAUAUUUGUUAUGGAUGGUCCGAUGAAGAUUCCAAAAUAUCAUAUCAAAGGUAUUUUCAAUUGUUUCUCCUGUCUUCUUGGGUAUUUGUAGCUACAAACAUUGUCUUGUGCAUGAUUUAAAAUGUCCCAUUUUUAAUUCCUCAUUGAAAGUUUGGUUCCAGUCAUAUCAUGAAAGGCGUGAUCAUGGAGCAGGACCAGCUGGCCUGCUCCUGUAUUGAUGAGAAUGUCACAACUAAGUAUAAGUUGUUGGCCACCCUGGUUGAAGGGAACUUUUUAGAGGUCUAACUGGCUUUCCAUGUCCUCACACUGACCUGUGUGGCUGUAAAAAUUUUCCAAAAUGUCAAGAUAUAUGUCUUGCUUUUCUGCAGGAAAAUCAGCAAUGUGAAAUCACUUGACCAUCCUAACUUUAUCAAGCUGUUUCACAUGGUCAGACAAGAGAAAACACCUACCAGUUGAAGGAUAAUGCCUCGGAUGGAGAGAUACUAGAACAAGUCAUUGAAGGUGGGGUCUUUAGAGGAAAGUCUCUAUGCAAGGUUCAAAGAUGUUUGCCGAGAUAGUACAUGCUGUGCAGUACUGCCAUGACCAUCAAAUUUUCCACAGAGACAUAAAGUCCAGCAAGCUGUUAAUCGACAGCAGUAGGAACACCAAGCUGUGUGAUUUUGGCCUGGGCAGAAGCUAGCAGAUUUCUGGGACACACUUCCUUACAGUGCCCCAGAAUUUUAGCAAGCACAGGAACAUGAGAGCUGCCCUGUGGAUAUCUGGAGUUUAGGGGUCCUCCUGUUCUUCAAGGUGGCCAGGAUCUCAGCUUUCUGAGGCAAAUAUUUUGCAGGUGUGAAACUGCAGAUUAUCAAGCACCACAAACUUUAGCAUUCCUUUUUAUGUUUCCAUUUAUUUUUUAAGGUCAUCAUUGAACUAUUGAUGGUCAAUUCCAGAAGAAAUCCCACCAUCCACAAAAUCAUGAUGUGCCUCAUGAUUAGUGAAAUGAGGCAUGUUUAUUACCUCCUUCCUGUGUAUUUCUGCUUUGAAGUUUUGAAGAGGACCAGAAGCCAGAGAGUAGGAAUGUACAGGCUCUUUCAACAAUUUUAUGUACAGGUGACCUGGUCUACAUUGAACAAUUGUUGUACAUGGAAGGCUCUGUGUAAGACUUAAGAUGGUGUUGGAAUAUUAUAAAGACAGAAUCAGGCAUGAGGAGUUCAUGGCGAUGAGAGUGAGUGACAAGCCACUCGGGUCUCCUGUCUGAGAGUUGAGCUGCUUCCUCACAGAUCCGCGUACAGAGGUGAGGCGGGUGUCAGUCUGUCCCUUGUUCAUCCUCCCCAAAUAGAGAGAGAGAUUGGUCAAUUAACUUAUCAAAAGUGUGUUUUCAGUUUAUAUUCUUGUAGAUUAUAGGUUAUAUAAAAAUUUAGAAAUAAUAUAUACAUACAUGCAAACAUACACUCAUACAUACAUGCAUACAUACACACACACAUACAUACAGACAAACAUGAAUGACUGGAAAAUCCACACUUAAAAAGACAUUAGGAAGUAACCUGGGGCAGCUCGUUCCCACCCCGUAGGUGCUGAAAGCACACAGUAAUCUCCUUGGUUUAGAUGAAGAUGUUUUAAAAUAACACAAGUCACAAUAGGAGCAGAAACAAGGAACAGAACAAAGAUUUGAAAAAAACAGAGCUCUUUUUCUCCUCUCUUCUCUCAGUGCCCCUUCCUCUCUCCUACUCACCCCCUUUCCCCAUGGCAACUUCCUUGGCCUUGGUCCUUGGGGCCAGUGAACUUGCCCACCAGAAAGCAUCUUCCCAAUAAAGCCAACUUUAAUAUAAAAAAGGAAAUAUUUGAAGAAGCAAUUGCUGAUAAAUUUUAAAAAUUGAUUGAUACCAGCAACAUAACUUAAAAUUCAUAAAAUAUUAAAAAGAUAAAUAGAUCUGGAAAUUAAAAAUAUAAAGCCUUAUAAAUCAUAACUCCAACCAGCUACAUCUGUAACCAAAACAAUAAGCCUGUCAAAAACCUAUACACAUCAUUGUGUCACACUUGAAUUUCUGAGAAGAAAUGAUUUUGAAGGCAACCAGAGAAAUAGUAGCAACAUUAAUGCAGAAAGUGAAGAUAAAAAUUAUAGUCAUUGUCAUACCAGAACUUGUAGUAGCUUGAAGGUAUCUUUAACCUGGCCUAUGGGAAGAAACUAUGAAUCCAUAAUUCUACACACAAAGUAAAGUAAAGAGAAUGAAGACUUGUGCAGGCAGAAAAAUGCUGAGUGCACAUCAUCUGUGUAAUCAAUUCAAUCAGUGGAUCAAUUUCGUGAUAAAAUGUUUUCCAGGAAGGAAAGACUAUGACACCAGAGAGAAACCAGGAUCCAUACUGUGCAGAAAACAUAUUAAGAAUCACAUAAAUGAACGUUUAAAUAACUUCUAUUUUAACAUUCUCUAAAAGAAAAUUAGCAGUGGUAAAAAUAGUAUCAACAGUCUAUUUGUUUACAGAAGACUCAGAGGUAAAAUAUGUGCUAACGCUAAUAACAGCACCACAAAGUUAGGAAGGAACAUUGAGAAUUUAUUGUGCUAAGGUCUUCAUAGUGCAUAUAAUUUGAAUGUAGACUCUGAUUCAUUAAAGCAUACACUGUAAAACCUGGGACAACUAGAAGUAUUAAACAUAAUUGUGAUUUCAUAUGAACACAACAUGCCCUCCAGGACAAGGAAGACCUGGGGUUUUAGAACCAUGAGGUCCUUUACUGCAGGGACAGCACUGGAGCCUCUAGCGAAGUCAGAGUAGAGCUGACCCGGGACGUAGGUCUGGCCUUGUUGGAGGACAUGUGUCACUGUAGAGCUGAGCUGUGACGCCUUAUGCUUAAGCUCUGCCCAGUGCAGGAGACAGUCCCUUCCUAGAUGCCUUCAGAUGAAGAACUCUCAGCUCCUUCUCCAGCUGUCAUGCUUCCUGCUAAGAUGAUAAUGGACUGAACAUUAUCUGAAACUGAAGGCAGUCCCAGUUAAAUGUUCACCUUUGUAAGAUUGCCUGGGUCAUGGAUCACUUCACAGCAAUGUAAGCCUAAGUCACUGGUUCUUGGUGGCUUGAAGUCUAAUGUAGAGAAAUUCAUUAAAUGUUAUCAAAAUGCUUUUCAAAGAGAAUAACUAGGAAUGAGUAAUAAUCCAACUGUAAUGAUGAAGUGAAUAAUAAAAAUGUCCAAUUUAUAACUAGAAAUGCCACAUAUUUUAAUAUUCAACACAUAAAAAUACAUUAAUCAGGAAUUGUUUAAACACACCAAUUAAAAGACAGCAAGUAUUGAACUGGUUGAAAAGCAAAUUAAACUUUGUACUGUUUACAAGAAUGUUUAUGGUGCAAACCUUAACCAAUAGAAUUCUGAAGUCGCUAUACUAAUGUGGGACCAAGUAGAACUCAGAAGAUAAAAUUAUGAAGAAUGAUGUUACUCAGGAGGAAAAGGCUAAUUACUAGGAAUAUAUAGCAAUCCAAACAGUAAAUGCAUGGAAUGUGAGAGUUUCUAAGGAGGUGGAAUAAAGCCUCAAAAAGAGUCCAGGUGGUGGUGGCUCAAGCCUUUAAUCUCAGCACUUGGGAGGCAGAGGCAGGAGGAUCUCUGUGAAUUCCAGCCUGGUCUACAGAGAGAGUUCCAGGACAGCCAGGACUACACAGAGAAACCCUGUCUCAACAAACAACAAACAAACAAAAAAGCAGAAGAAAAUGUGCAAACCCAAAAAUGUAAAUUCAGGACUCCAUUUUUGAGCUGUGCUUGGUGGUUUUCAUGGCUGUAAUCCCAGCAUUCAGGAGUCAGAGGCAAGAUGAUUGGAUGUUUGACCCGGGCUACCCUCAUUCCCAACUGUACAGCCCCAGGCUUAUGUGCAGCUGAGCCUUCCUUCGGGUUCCAGCUAAGACUAGAAAAUGGACACUUUUGGGUUUAAACCUCGAUUGCCAGAUGCCGUCAGGUGUCUGCUGAGACAUUAAUCCAGUUGGGUUUGCCAUAGACCUUGGGCAGACAGCUAUGCCCAGGCUGGCAGGGCAUGAUUUAAACGACACAGGGCCGUUUGCCAUCUUGACUAUGGGAUAAAGAAGGGGGAGUCAUAGCUUCACUGACUUAAGGGCAGCCACAUAGCUGGCAGCCGUCUCUGUUAUGGGUCGGAAAAAACAAAAGCAGAAACAAUGGACCUCGCUUGGUGGCCCUGACAGCCAAAUCUUGUCACAUAAUAGUAACCCACUUGGUAUUAAUUGUGAAGGCAUCACAUUGUUUUCAGUUAUUAGAACUUAGUCUUUGUCUUCCAAAAAUUAUGGUUAUGCUCUGUCUUUACUCUUUAAAAGGUAUUAAUUUUAUUUUAACACACAGGGACAGUUUAGAGCAGGAUUAGGGU